rnacentral:rRNA from 1 species
AAUAGAUACCCCGGUAGUCCACGCCGUAAACGAUGAGUGCUAAGUGUUAGGGGGUUUCCGCCCCUUAGUGCUGCAGCUAACGCAUUAAGCACUCCGCCUGGGGAGUACGGUCGCAAGACUGAAACUCAAAGGGAAUUGACGGGGGCCCGCACAAGCGGUGGAGCAUGUGGUUUAAUUCGAAGCAACGCGAAGAACCUUACCAGGUCUUGACAUCCCAUUGACCGCUAUGGAGACAUAGCUUUCCCUUCGGGGACAGUGGUGACAGGUGGUGCAUGGUCGUCGUCAGCUCGUGUCGUGAGAUGUUGGGUUAAGUCCCGCAACGAGCGCAACCCUUGUUCUUAGUUGCCAUCAUUUAGUUGGGCACUCUAAGGAGACUGCCGGUGACAAACCGGAGGAAGGUGGGGAUGACGUCAAAUCAUCAUGCCCCUUAUGACCUGGGCUACACACGUGCUACAAUGGACGGUACAAACGGUUGCCAACCCGCGAGGGGGAGCUAAUCCGAUAAAACCGUUCUCAGUUCGGAUUGUAGGCUGCAACUCGCCUAC